rnacentral:rRNA from 1 species
AGAGUUUGAUCCUGGCUCAGGACGAACGCUGGCGGCGUGCUUAACACAUGCAAGUCGAGCGGAGAUGCAGCAAUGCAUCUUAGCGGCGAACGGGUGAGUAACGCGUGGAUAACCUGCCCUUAUGCCUGGGAUAACACUUCGAAAGAGGUGCUAAUACCGGAUAAGCCGGCGCGGCCGCAUGGCCAUGCCGGGAAAGGAAGCGCAAGCUUUCGCGCAAGGAUGGAUCCGCGUCCCAUUAGCUAGUUGGCGGGGUAACGGCCCACCAAGGCGACGAUGGGUAGCCGGCCUGAGAGGGUGACCGGCCACACUGGGACUGAGACACGGCCCAGACUCCUACGGGAGGCAGCAGUGGGGAAUCUUCCGCAAUGGACGCAAGUCUGACGGAGCAACGCCGCGUGAGUGAUGAAGGCCUUCGGGUUGUAAGGCUCUGUCUGGCGGGACGAAUGGGGUAAGGGUGAUAAGCUUUUACCCGUGACGGUACUGCCAAAGAAAGCCCCGGCUAACUACGUGCCAGCAGCCGCGGUAAUACGUAGGGGGCGAGCGUUGUCCGGAAUUACUGGGCGUAAAGCGCGCGUAGGCGGCUUGAUAAGUCAGGUGUGAAAACUUAAGGCUCAACCUUAAGAUGGCAUUUGAAACUAUCAGGCUUGAGGGCAGGAGAGGAGAGCGGAAUUCCUAGUGUAGCGGUGAAAUGCGUAGAUAUUAGGAGGAACACCAGUGGCGAAGGCGGCUCUCUGGACUGAACCUGACGCUGAGGUGCGAAAGCCAGGGGAGCAAACGGGAUUAGAUACCCCGGUAGUCCUGGCUGUAAACGAUGGGUACUAGGUGUAGGAGGUAUCGACCCCUCCUGUGCCGCAGCUAACGCAUUAAGUACCCCGCCUGGGGAGUACGGCCGCAAGGUUGAAACUCAAAUGAAUUGACGG